UACGUAAGUGGCGAGCGUUAUCCGGAAUUACUGGGCGUAAAGAGUGUGUAGGCGGUGCUCUAAGUUCGGUGUGAAAUCUCCCGGCUUAACUGGGAGGGUGCGCCGGAAACUGGAGUGCUUGAGCGCGGGAGAGGAAAGCGGAAUUCCUGGUGUAGCGGUGAAAUGCGUAGAUAUCAGGAGGAACACCUGUGGUGUAGACGGCUUUCUGGACCGUAGCUGACGCUGAGACACGAAAGCGUGGGUAGCAAACAGG
rnacentral:rRNA from 1 species